rnacentral:rRNA from 1 species
CGAACGCUGGCGGCGUGCUUAACACAUGCAAGUCGAGCGGUAAGGCCCUUUCGGGGGUACACGAGCGGCGAACGGGUGAGUAACACGUGGGUGACCUGCCCUCAGCUCUGGGAUAAGCCUGGGAAACUGGGUCUAAUACUGGAUAUGACUCCACGGUGCAUGUCGUGGGGUGGAAAGCCUUGUGCGGCUGAGGAUGGGCCCGCGGCCUAUCAGCUUGUUGGUGGGGUGAUGGCCACCGAAGGCGACGACGGGUAGCCGGCCUGAGAGGGCGACCGGCCACACUGGGACUGAGACACGGCCCAGACUCCUACGGGAGGCAGCAGGUGGGGAAUCUUGCGCAAUGGGCGAAAGCCUGACGCAGCGACGCCGCGUGAGGGAUGAC